rnacentral:lncRNA from 1 species
GUGAGGUUCUUUUCACCAAAGGACUGUGCAGCUGUCUUUUUGGUGAUUUUAAUUUGUUCUCUGAGGUGGGUGAAUUUAUACAUGGGCCCUUUAAGAGCCAGGUUUUUUCAUCUUUCCUCUGAUAGCUUUUCUAGGGGUAUUCCCUGUUGGAGUUAAUAGCCAGAGAAGCCAGAUAAUAGGACAUUUGUCUCACUUGUGCUGAGUCUGAAGGAUGCUUAUAGUGGUAAUGUGCCUUCACUAAAGUCCGAACUUCUCCAGGGAGGACUGCAUUCCUUAGGGUGGCUCCCACUUGGCCAGCUAAGAAGCUCCAUUGCUCAUGAAGGUGGCUUUUUUCCAUCUCCAGAAGGAAUUUCUGCCUCUUCUGCUUCAGUUAGGACUGUACCUUGCCGUGUGGGUUCUUUUUAUCCAGUUUUCACUUUUUUCUCCAGGGUAAUUUUUCCAAGAAUAGUUAUAACCUGGUUGUGUUUAUAGGAGGAGGUAUGUCAACUAUGUCUCCCAGUCCUGAAGAGGUGGCCUUAUGUAGAAGGAGUCUUGGGGAGCCCAGGAGCUCACAUCCCACUGGUCACCAGAGCCAGAUGCUCCAGCAUGGCAACUGACAGAUGAGUGGUGUAGGUCUGUACUUUGGAACCAAACGUGGGACCCCAAAGUGGAGCACACCAAAGUCAACCACUAGGCCACCUGAGUUGGCCUCAAAUUGCUCAUAUUUUUAACUAGCAAAAAUAUAUUUUGGUUUUAGGAUAAAUAUUUCUUUAUGUCGCAUUUUAGUUUCAGUUUUUAUAUCUUCCUUUAUAUUUUUAAAAAGCAAUUUCUUGAAGGUUAAUUCUUCUUCCUACUCUCUGGAUUUUCCUUUCAAGUUUCAUUGUUUUACUUAUUUUGGGCUGUAUUUCAUGAAAGAUGAUUUUACCAUAUAUCUGAUGAUUCUUCUCUGUUCAUAUAUAUGAGUUAACCACUCAAUGGAAGUUCUGAGGAGAGGGAAGAUUUUUUAAAAUAUAGCCAUAUAUGUUUCAAGUGGGGACACUAUUUGAUUGUGAGAAAUUUAAAAUAUUAGGGCCUCUGACUCUCUUCUCUUGAGCUGACCAGCUUCUAGAAAGAGAAAAUUUCAAUAUCUUCUCUAAAGGUUAUUAGCAUGGCUGCCAGUAUUACCAAACAAAUGGGAAUGAAUUGGGCCUCCAGUUCAAGAUGUGGAUGAUUACACACACUACUAUUGUCAAAUUGGUCAUCUGUCUGCAUCUGUCACUGGUACCCCCUCUGGUUCAAAGACUCUAAAGAGGAGCUUUGGGUUUCCAUAAGAUACUAGCAGUCAUCGAAAUCUGAAACUCUUCACGCAUUCACAAAUUUUAAAUAAUGAAAAUUAAACCACCCAAAUUUUAUGUCAACAUAUACAUAAACAUCGUAAAUUAACAAAAGUCACUUUUUGGGACACAGUGGAACUGAAGGUCAGUAAUAAUACAGAAAAGAGAAGAAUGCUGUAUGCUACAGAGUUUCUGGUUCAAUGUAGUUAUCAGAAUUCAAAGAUCCCAUAAUGACCCAUGUCCUAGUAUAAUCUCCUUCUUUUAGUCUGAUUAUUACUGGUUGUCACGUCAUGAUUAGGUUAUGUCAAAAGUGAAGGGAUUUGGCAAGUGUAUUUAAAGUUGACCUAAUUCAAAUAUAAUUCUACUUUUCAGUUGACUUUGAAUUAUACAUAUAUAAUUGUUUAGGUCUGUCUUAUAAAUAAAAAAUUUUCUAAUUAUAACAGUAGUUGUCCAGGAGAUAUUAUGUCUGAAUGUCAUGUAUUAACAAACUGGUUAUAACUAUAUCAAAUAGAUAAAGUAGAAUAAGUGUAGCCGCCCCUGAUGCAGGAAGGGUUAAUAAUCACUGGAAAAGGCUUGCCAACAAACUCUGACCCAGAGGUGAGAAGGCCGGUUAGCCAAUGAUGGGUAAGACCUCCAGGGGGAGGCAACCUAAGCCAGGCAUCGGUCGCCCAGGGGCACAGAUGGUGACAUGAUAUCGAUAUUGGGAGCAGGAGGAGCAUUGCCUAGGAGGCCUUGCCUGCUCCGAGAUAAAAAUAUACAAGCACAGCAAAAACAUGAUAAUAUCAAAACCUUUGCUAAUUACUCCAUCCAGAACACCUGUGUAUGUUUAACAGCUGUAAGCUAUGUAUAUAUUGAAAGCUGGUUACAAUAAACUCAGAGUGGCCAUCAGCCCUCUCUGCAUCUAUCCUGACGUGUACAUUGGGUUGCGACACCAACAAUAAGCUUCUAGUAACCUAGUAAGCCAUUCUCACUGGACUUGGACACUUUUGAUCAGUUAAUUACACUUGAUUUAACAAACUAUGUAUAGACUUAAUGACACAUGUCCCAGAAUGCUAGUUUUCAAAACUUACUGGGCAUAACCACAGUCUUUCUUUUUCUCCUACAUCCUUUGCAUCAGCAAUUAAAGAUACUCUAGUGUCAGUUACUCAGGCAUUCACUUAUUCCUUUACUACUUCAUUCAAAACUAUUUCAUGAGAACUUAAUGCCCACCAGCCCUGGAGAUGAGGUAAACGAGAGUUUACCUUUAUAAAAUUCUUACUUUAAUGGGGUCUAAUUUCCUUUCUGAUUGGCAAAACCUCUGCCUCUGUUAGGGAUAAUAACCUCUAGCAGUUUCCCUCUUGCUGUGAUUUAACGUUUUAAAUUUAUUUCUUUUAUAUUAUAUGUCUUAAAAUGUGAAUUAGAUCAUGUCCAUCAAUACUUUUCUUUUAUUCCCCAUGUGAUAUUGAUCCCAUUAUCUCUCCUCUUUAAAUUAUAAUCAUAAUUAUUAUUACAAUAAUCAGAGGAAUUCAAUCUUAACCCCGUCUAGUGACAGUUUUUGAAGGAAAAAAGCACUACUGGGAAAAGACACUUCCUCCCAAUCUGUGACCCUGGAAGGUUUUAUAGCUCCCUUCUCUUCUCAUAUAAGCACCUUAAAAAGGAAGAGUAGCCUCAUGUUGUCUCCUAUAACUCUCCAGAACAUAGACAUCUGGCUUCUUCUCCUAACACUUUCCUAAAACUACUUUAAUAGAGGUUUUCCUUGUCCAUGGGUUUGUCACCUCUAAUUCCUUGGACAUUUUGCAAAUUUCUUUACUGACUCUGCCAUGGAUGUUCCUUCCUUUGGAAAUUUUCCUCAAUCACAUUUGCUGGCUCUGUACCAGCUUCUUACUCACCCCCUUUAUUUUCCUUCUUUCUUAUUUCUCAUGAAGUCUUUUGCUUCAGCUGACUGCAUCAAUAUUUAUCAUUUCUAUCCUUACUUCCUUGGCUUCAUUCCCUGGAAUAAUUCUGCUUUCCUAAUGAUUUUUACCAUAAUUUUUAAAGUAACUCAAAUAAAUAUCUGACAGAGGCUUUUUAUAGAAUUUCAGACUGUUUUAUAGGAAAAAGAGUCUCCAAGGGGAAUUUAACUUGAUAUGUUCAACUGAAAACUCAGUGUUUACAGCCUUUACAUGGACACCUUACCCCAAAUGUGCUACCUGUGCUUCCUUCAUCCAGCAGUUUUCACACCUGCAAUUAUCUUGCUUAUCUAUAUUUUUGGUCUAUGCUUGUGUCCUACAAAUUUCUGCAAUUGCAAGGACCUUAGCCAUCAUAUUUGCUGUUGUAAUUCUAGUCUCUGAAAUAGCAGCUGGCACGUAGUAGGUGAUUGCUGUAUUUGUUAAGCUGAUGAGUAUACCAGUAGAUGGACCCAGCAGGCACAGUUCCCCUUGGCAACACCUACCAUGAAAAUGAAGACGGCUGAUUGCUCUGAUAGAUGAGAAUCAAUCAAGUGAGUAUGAAACUCCUCUUGGCAGAAUGUUCUGGAACAAAACACAACUUAAUGCAACUUAUUUCCUCAUGCCUCAUUUUUCUUCUGCAACUGCGUAUGUCUUCUACAGUAUGAGAACUUUGAUACUCUUCAUAACAAAGGGAAAAGCUAUAAACAUUGGCUGCCAAAGAGAAAACUAUAGUUAUGAUAACAAACUUGUGGUAGACCCGGGGAGUCUUGCUAUUUUCCUCAGUGUUUGGAGUAAACAAACAGGAAGGAUGGGUAGAGUAGAAAAGGAAGGGCUUAGAAUCAUCAAACGUUUGGAAGAAAAGAUCACAAAGCAGUUUAGGUUUUCAAACUGGAAAGCAAGCUGUGAGAAAAGUAAGAUUUAAAUGAGCCAAAGUACUGUGGAGAAUUUGAGGCCAGCAUAUACUAAGUCAGUUGAUUCAUGAGUUUUACAGUAAUCAGUACAAAAUAUGGACAAAAUAAAAGAAAUAAUAUGGCAUAUUCCUUGAUCUUUGGACCACAAAAAUCCCCAACAUAAUAAUUACAUGAAACAAUAAAAAUGGCUUGUUUUAAUCCAUUACUGUUACCCAGGAAGUACUAUAUAUAUAUAUACAUACACGCAUUAUUGUUUUUAACAACUUUCCUUAGUAACUUUUCUAUCUAAAAUACACUCACAUACACAUAAAUGAAUGAGAUACACAUGUAAACACAGAUAUAUACACAUAUGUGUGUACAUAUAUUAUGUGUAUAUAUUUUACCUGUGUGUGGAGUACGUAGUUGGAAUCAUAGAUAAAAUCUAUAUGCAAGAAUGUACAAAAUGUUUACAUAGAGAAUAUUUAAAAUAUUUCAUAUGAGAUUAAUUGGCAUUUGUGUAACAUUGGAGAGGCUUUCCUAUGGCUGGGAUAGGGGUAGAAUCAAUGAAGAUGUUCAGUGGGAAUGAGUCCCACACUCACUCACAAGGUCGAAAGUAAGACAAAGAUCAGAGGUGACAGGAAUUUCUAUCUCCAGAUCUGACUCCAUAACUAUUUAGACAGCCAGUAGUUAAGUCCUGCUUAAUUCUUUUUCCUUUUGGAAAUCUUCUGCAGUAAAGACUUUGGCCUCUCAGGAAACCUAAAAGUUUCAAGCUCUAAAUUUUCUAUAAAGAUUAUGGGAACUUUAUUCAUCUUAACAGACAUAUUUUCUGAUAGAUUUGAUGAUAUAAUUGGUGAUAUCAGCCCCUAGGCAGCAAACAUUGCUUCUAGAAGUUUAAAAAUAUCUCAGGUAUUUCAAUAGUUUUUGACUCUAAAAAUGCUAUAGUACAUAGAUAAUAUAUUAUAUCUCUGGUAUUAAAGUUUUUGGUGGAUGGAGUGAUCAGAAAAAAAUAAUUAAAAGCUCUUUAAGGGAAGUGAUGAUUAAAAAUAGAUUGAGAAACAGAGUUAGACAAUUCAGAAACAGAGGAAAGUGUAAAAUAUUGUACAUGACAAGGUUUUGUUAAUUUCCACUGAUGGGCUUCAGGACGUGCUACCCCAAAAUACUGCACUUGGGUAUAGUGAAUAUCUUAAGUUGAAAGAGUUUGAGAAAAUAGCAAAAGCAAGGUCACUGUGACCUCCCCUCCCUCACCUCUUUUCUCUGACAGUAGGAGAUAAAUCUCUCACAUAAUGUUACCCUCCUUGCACCAGGAAGAAGGGAGACAGUCUUAUUAACUUUAAAAAACAAGAAAACAGGCCAAAAAUGGUGUCCCUUAUGCUAAGCCCCAAGUCACUAAAGCUAGAUCUUACUUACCUACAGUUUCAGCUCUCCCAAAUGGAAUCUUAAACCACUCAAUCAGGAAGCACUACCAGAUCAGCUCCAGUUAGAUAAUCUGCCUGGAAGACCCCUGCUAUCCCCUAAAGGGAAGUAGUGUUGCGACAACCAACUCACUUUUUUGCCAGUGUAACUACCUUUUCCCUGCUCCCUUUUGCCUAUAAAAGUUUUUCAUUUUACACAGCUCCUCUGAGCUGCUUUUAUCCACUACAUUAGAUACUGCCCAAUUCAAGUUGGUUUUGCUCAAAUAAACUUUUAAAAAAUAUGCCUUAGCUUGUCUUUUAGCAUAUCAGAGACAGGGAAUUUAGGUUAUGAAGGCUGCAUAAACAAACCUUGUUACUUCUUCAUCAUUUUAUAAUCCCUAGCCUAAAUUCCUUUCUUUUGUCAAUUCUUCACAAAUAAUGUUUCUUUUUCUAAAAUAUAUAAAAUUUCCUACUCUGGUCACUUUUUUGGUUCUUCAUUCUCUUGUGAAUGCUCCCAUGUACAUUCAACUAAAUUUACAUGCUUUUCUCCUAUUAAUCUAUCUUUGUUAAUUUUCAGACCCAGCCAGCGAGCCUAAGAGGGUUGAGAAGAAUUUUUUCCUCCCCUACACAAGUUUACACAUAUUGAGAAAUAUUUAGAUGAUUCACUAGAGGGUAUUGAUGGUGGGAGGAGGAAAUAUUAUUCUGGUUAAAGCAAAACUACCACUUUCCUAGGUGGAAAAAUACUACAAUUAUUUUACAUUCUGGAUCCUGUAGGAUUUGCUAAGACUUGGCCUUGGAGGGGAGGGGAAGGGAAAGUUUUCCUAGACCCUUUUAGGAUCCCUUGCUACGUCUAAUAAUUAGACUGACAAAGACAGGUUAACAAGAGAAAAGCAUAUGAAAUUAUUUAAUAUAAGUUUUACAUGAUAUAGGACACUUCAUAAGGAAAUGAAGACCUAGAGAAACAGACCUGUGUGUUGUUAUGCUAGGCUCCUUGAAGAGUGGACAGUCACAGAAGAAUAUGACCAGUUAAAGAGUAUGAAUUAACUGUAGUAAACUGGGGAAAACCUAGCAAUGCCUGUUUGUUAGGAUUCUGCUUGGGGUCCCUUUGUCUUUGGAUAUAAGGAUGUUCCUCUCCUCCAGGUAUGGGGGAGCACCUCUCACAUGAGGGCUUUAUGAGCUGUUUCGGGGGAGAUGGUGGGUGGAAAGUCAGAAUGGCCUUCCUGCUUCUGCUGUUCUUUCAAAUUGAUUAAGUUUAAGUUCUUUGAUAUGUCAUUGCCAUAUUUUGGGGUAGCAUUUCCUGAAUCCUAUCAGCCUGCUCAGGGCUUCAUAUAAGUACUACAGCCAAGUGACUAUACUGUUGCAUUCCCACUCUCAGGAACUGAAUAUUAAAAUCUCUGAGACAUAACUUUCUCACUUGUAAAAAGUAUGUAAUAUUUCUCACUAUGAUAUCUUUCUUGAGCAUUCAAUGAGUAAACACAAGUAAAACCCUAAGAGUGGCAGCCACAUAUCAAGUACCCCAAACAUCCUAUUAUUAAUGACAUAGAAAAAAUUUGUUUCAAUAGAAAGCUAUGCAUUAUGUAUGGCACAAGUUCUGGCUAUCAGACUCUAGACCCCUUUCCUUGGAUUUGAGCAAUUUUGCACUUGUUGUAAGUUGUAAGCUACUGAUAGAUAUGAAUAUUAUCCCAUGUUUAAUAGUCAAUUGACAUUCCUUCUCCCAGUGGAAAAUCAGUUUUGCUUCAUUUGCCAUUCAGCUAAAUAUCCCUCUACUCAGUAAAUUUAUAUUGGUUUGAUUUUUCCAUUAAGCUAGCUAUAGCAUCUACCUAAUUGCCUCAGGUUCUAUGGGUAAAACAAAUCCUUGAACAUGAGUCUGCUUUUAUAUUGUAUGAGUCAUAAUUUUACCUUUUUAUGAAAAUUAUCUGUUAACAAUAUGCAUGAUACAAGUGGUAUGUGCAGAAGAGAAACCCAUGGCUGUAGGAAAAGUGAAAAAAGAAAAGACUUGACUACAGCAGUAUAAAGAGUGAUUAACAAGAAGAAGAGAAAGGAAAGAUAAGACAAUAAAUAAAAUCUAGUGGCUAUUAAGGGAAGAGCAACACAGAGGAUUAAGAGAGGAAGAAAAAGCAGUAGUUAUCAACCAAUAAUGGGAACAGAAAAUCAUUCACCUAAUUGAGAGGACAAUUCUAUUCUAUUCUGUUCUGCCUCACAGUUUGACACAAUUGUAAUCUUAUUGUUUUUACAUGGUGUAGGAAAAAUUACUGUGAAACCAAAUGCACUGGAAAUUAAUGAGAUGACCUUAUCCAGGCUACUGCAAUAGAGAGAGCAUUCCUUAACAAGUGUCAAAUGACAAAAAUAAAAUGGUUUCAUAAUGAGUUUGAUGCCUUUUUUUAAAGGGAAAACAAUCCAUAGGUUAGGGGAGUACAGUGCUUCACAAGCAGUGAAGUGCUCUUCCUAGGGUUGUGUGGGAAACAGCAAAUUUCAUAAAGCAUUAGAAGCAGCACUGAAGAAGCAGGGCACCCUUGGCUGAGGUUGCAUAUCUGACCUUAUUUAGAAAGAUCAAGGAACAAUAAAAUCAUUAUGUAGCCCAGAGUUGGCUUGGCAUUUGGGGGUUGGCAGACUGGAUGUACUGUGUUUCUGGGCCAGCAGAGCAUUUACAGGAACAGAAAAGUUCGGUUUGCUGAUGUGGCACCCUGGGUAGGAGUGGCUCCAUCUUAGGUGUAGAAGUUUAUUUCAAAAAGAGGAAUAUCUUCUAGAAAAGAAAUGAGCCUGGGGAUUUACAGAGCCGCUAAACAAGAGAGUUAUGAAUCUGAGGAACAGGAGAGAGGGGACUCUUCUGAAUCAUGCGGGGAAGAGCUACUCUUCAAAGUUAGCUCUUGCCUGGCGCACAAAAGUGUGGUGGAGAUUUCUCACCUGUUGCUGUUUUCUGGGAGGCUAGGGCUCAGGUAAAAUCAACUUUUCUCUGACUUAGCCCCAUUGAGCUAAGUCUAUUACACAAUUCCACAGCAGCUAUCUUUAUUGGUGACCCCACAUCAUAAAAUGAUCAGAGGUGUUUAAAAUAAAAUAAUAGGCCCUCAAUGGAGUCACUUAUGCUAAGUCCCAUGUCACCAAAAUGAGACAACUUAGUCACAGUUUCAGCGUUCCCAGAAAUGAAACCUUACACCAAUCAGGAAUCACCUGAUCAGCACCAGUUAGGUAAUCUGCCUGAGAAACCACUGCCAACUCUUGUAAGGACAUCGACCUUGCAAUAACCAAUCUGCCUUUUCUUAGUAUGACUUCCUUGUUCCUUCUUCUUUCUGUCUAUAAAACUGUUUCAUUUCGUACAUCUCCCCAGAGCUUCUUUCAAUCUGCUAGGUUGGAUGUUGUGUGAUUCAUGAAUUAAUGAAUAAAGCCAAUAAGGUUGUUAAAGCUUAUUCUCUUGAAUUUUGUUCCUUAGCAGACUAAACGCAAUAAAAAUCACUCACCACUGUGCAAACUAACUACUUGUAUUCACCAGAGUUAUGGAAACCUUCUUUGUUCUCUCCAGCACAUUCUUCCAGAGGCAGAAAUGCUGGCAAACUGUGACCUCAGAGCCCACAGGGCUGCUCUGCUGAUUCACACACGAUGGCCAGCAAGUGCUUUCCACGAAGAUAAGUUUGGAGAAGUCCUGGGAGCACGACCCUAAUUCUUUAUUAUAUCUCCCUCUUACUUGGUUCAGUACCAAGGUGGUAUUGUGGAGUUUUAUAAAUCGUGGAAGUAAACCGACUGUCAUGCCAACAACUCUCACUCUGUCAUUGAAUAACAGACCAUCUGCAUCACAGUUUCUUAACAACAGCAGUUUUGAAUAUUCAG